AAAAAACAAAAACAAAACAAGAAAUUACCAAUAAAAUAAAACAGGCAACAAAUGCCCGUUAAUGUUGAUAAAUUAAAUACCAAAUUAAACAGAGAAGAGAAUAAAGAAAUUGAUGUGAUGUGAUACAAAAGACAAUUUGACGCGUUGUUCUUUUCGUUUUGAUUCAGUUCCUUCCUCCCUUCAUCCCGCAAAUUGGAGGCAACAGAAAAGUCGUGUUAACAUUUUCUAUGAGAAAGGCAAACAACAA